CCUCCCUCCCCCGCUCCCGCUCUUCCUCACCUCGCACCUCCUCCCCGCGCGAUCCGCUCCCUCUCGCUCCGUCCUUGCGUUCCCCCACCCCGCUGGGCCGGCGUGCGUGCGCUAGAGUCGCCUCGGCGGCGGGCGAGCAGCGGACUCGGUGCCCUCUCCCAUCGCGGGCUCGUGCCGCUUUGCUGCCGGGAGACGGCAACACGCGAUCCACGGAGGAGGAGGAGAAGGAGGAGGCAGGGGGCCGGAGCCGAACCACGGAACGCUCCGGAGAGGAGACGGAGCGAGAGAGAGAGGUGGACUCGGGAUCGCACGCGCGCUGCCAGGGCACGCCGAGCUCACGGAUGGAGGGCGCGAUCCACGAACGCGACCACAAAGUCGGAGUUAAACGGAGGAACCUCUCCACACCGUGUCGGCCCCAAGCUCGCUGCGAGGGUCGCUCAAUGCCGGAGCGGUGGAGCAAAGUAUCGGGCCUCCAGGUCUGGUUCUCUCCAGGCGUCCGCCGUGGGUGAGGCUGCGGCGACGGCGCUGACAACGAGUCAACGCGCGGUCGCCUUUCCGUUGUCCUCCGUUUCUCGCGAGGAGGCUGUUCUGGUUUAGACUUCGCCCUCUGGGUGCCGUGCGAUAGUUUAUUUUUGUCAUCUCUCGGGCUGCCCCCGGCCCGAGCCCCCACGAGGACACUCGCCAUCCUUGGGCUUACCGCCUUCAACUCGCAGCAGUAAUUCGGGCCAAGAGACAGCGGUUACACGUCCCCCCCCCCCCUCACCCUCGGAGCCCCUCCACGCGUGUGCAGGGCUGUUAACUAUUUAUUUCAUUAGCUCUUUAUUGAGUCACGGUCACUCAGCAGUGAAAUACGUCUGGCGCGCGCAGCCCGGCUGGAGGAUUAAGCGGCCCGUGCGGUCGUUGACGUGAAGCGCCCCGCGUCACGCUCGGCGGGGCACGGCGGGGCACGGCCGAUCCACACAGGGGACGGGAGGGGAGUCUCUCUUUGCUUCCAUCGUCCACGCCGCCUAUCAACCCCUCACCCCUCCUGCCGCAACUCAACAACCCCCCCCCCCCCACCCACGUACCCCUUGAAACGUCAAAACAGACAACAAUUUGUUGCUCGGCUGACCCAAAGCUUCCCAUGUCUGGGCACGAGAAUCAUUUUUUUUUUCUUAAGACUGAAAUCGUUUCAAAAUUCUAGAGGCGGAACGCGACGACUUCGGUCACUCGGCCGAGCCGCUUCCCCGAGACCGGGCGCGGAGCAGAGGGUGCCCGUCGCGGGCUUGGGGACGCGCCGCUUGAUGGGGGGGGGAGGGGAGGGGGGGGGCGCGCAAGGCGCACUCGUCACUCUCGGCCAACAACCGUGGCCGCGUUCAUCGGUCGUCAGUCAGGAGAGGAGCAAUCGGGAGCCCCUCGUCGUCUCCACUCGCGCUCCUCCACACGUCAAACCGCACCCCCCACCACCCCCCCCCCACCCCCACCGGGGUCCCUUCUCUCUCUGCCACAUUCCCAGCAAAGCAAAAGGAGUGUUGCAUUUCAAUCAACCGUGGAAAUUCGUCGCAAAUGGCCAGCUGAGCCGCGUUUUCGUUUCAAGGGGAGCGUUGCCGUACACGCGAGGGCUUUUCGUUGAGGUUGCGGCGCUUUCGGUUCCACGAGUAAGCGCCGCUGUGAUAAGAAAUAUUGCUCGGCCAUGUUCUGUCCACUGCUGGUUAAAAGUCCACCUCUGGACGUUGCCAAUGUUCAAUCUCCAGCGCCCGUGAAAGACAAUGAUCGAGCAUGUAAAAGUGGAGAGUGCGGACAGACAGCACCUAAUGCAAGGUUACCGCCGUUCAAUAAAAGCGUAAACGUAAUUUAGACUCGCCGGGAAGAAUCCGUGUUUAGCCGAGAUGAUGGGAAUUCCUUUCAUUGAGACGGUGACUGAGCCCAGGAAUGCAUCGCUAAGUGGAUUGUGCUUUGUUCUCAACAGAACAAAUCUUCCCAAAAUGCAAUGUGCCAGCAACAGUUAAUCAUUUGACUUUUCAUUUAAAUGCAUUUAUUUCGGACUAAUAGUUUGUGACAAUUGGAGGCUUCGUCUUACACUGGCCAGCUCGUAUUAGGUAACUAUUAAUAUGCAAAUGUGAAAACUGUUAAUCAAAACAUCGUUUUUACAUCGAAUGCUCGUCAGGCCCCAUGGUGUAAAGUGCAGUCUCCACCACUUAUUAUCUGCUAUUACCUUUGUAUGUUCUAAGUAGAAGGGCCACCGCCUGAAACGUCACCUACUAUAAAAAAUGUUCUCCUUUUAAGGCCUUGGGGUUACUGAUAUGGAGUGUGUUGAUUGGUUUGAGACGAUGUCAAUUGGUGUAACGUGACCGUGGUGGCUCAAAACAAAUUCCAAUGUUGACCACCUCCUUGAGGAGGACUUUGAUCGGACAUUUCUUUAUAAACAACUCGCACUAUCCUGGUUUGCAAUUUCAACCAUUCAAUCAAACCGGUUGCUCAAAGCCAGCUACUGUUGCUCUAAGUCACCUCGUGUUGCUCUAAGUCACCUCGUAUUGCUCUAAGUCACCUCGUGUUGCUCUAAGCCAGCUGGUGUUGCUCUAAGCCAGCUCGUGUUGCUCUAAGCCAGCUCGUGUUGCUCUAAGUCACCUCGUGUUGCUCUAAGUCACCUCGUGUUGCUCUAAGUCACCUCGUGUUGUUUUAAGUCACCUCAUGUUGCUCCAAGUUAUCUCGUGUUGCUCUAAGUCACCUCAUGUUGCUCUAAGCCAGCUCGUGUUGCUCUAAGUCACCUCGUGUUGUUUUAAGUCACCUCAUGUUGCUCUAAGCCAGCUCGUGUUGCUCUAAGUCACCUCGUGUUGCUCUAAGUCACCUCGUGUUGCUCUAAGUCACCUCAUGUUGCUCUAACUCAGCUGGUGUUGCUCUAUGUCACCUCGUGUUGCUCUAAGUCACCUCGUGUUGCUCUAAGUCACCUCGUGUUGCUCUAACUCAGCUCGUGUUGCUCUAAGUCACCUCGUGUUGCUCUAAGCCAGCUCGUGUUGCUAUAAAUCACCUCGUGUUGCUUUAAGUCACCUCGUGUUGCUCUAAGCCAGCUGGUGUUGCUCUAAGCCAGCUCGUGUUGCUCUAAGCCAGCUCGUGUUGCUCUAAGUCACCUCGUGUUGCUCUAAGUCACCUCGUGUUGCUCUAAGUCACCUCGUGUUGCUUUAAGUCACCUCGUGUUGCUCUAAGUCACCUCGUGUUGUUUUAAGUCACCUCAUGUUGCUCCAAGUCAUCUCGUGUUGCUCUAAGUCACCUCAUGUUGCUCUAAGCCAGCUCGUGUUGCUCUAAGUCACCUCGUGUUGUUUUAAGUCACCUCAUGUUGCUCUAAGCCAGCUCGUGUUGCUCUAAGUCACCUCGUGUUGCUCUAAGUCACCUCGUGUUGCUCUAAGUCACCUCAUGUUGCUCUAACUCAGCUGGUGUUGCUCUAUGUCACCUCGUGUUGCUCUAAGUCACCUCGUGUUGCUCUAAGUCACCUCGUGUUGCUCUAACUCAGCUCGUGUUGCUCUAAGUCACCUCGUGUUGCUCUAAGCCAGCUCGUGUUGCUAUAAAUCACCUCGUGUUGCUUUAAGUCACCUCGUGUUGCUCUAAGCCAGCUCGUGUUGCUCUAAGCCAGCUCGUGUUGCUAUAAGUCACCUCGUGUUGCUCUAAGUCACCUCGUGUUGCUCUAAGUCACCUCGUGUUGUUCUAUGUCACCUCGUGUUGCUCUAACUCAGCUCGUGUUGUUCUAAGUCACCUCGUGUUGCUCUAAGUCCCCUCGUGUUGCUCUAAGUCACCUCGUGUUGCUCUAAGCCAGCUUGUGUUGCUCUAUGUCACCUCGUGUUGCUCUAAGUCACCUCGUGUUGCUCUAAGUCACCUCGUGUUGCUCUAAGUCACCUCGUGUUGCUCUAAGUCACCUCGUGUUGCUCUAAAUCACCUCGUGUUGCUCUAAGCCAGCUCGUGUUGCUCUAAGUCACCUCGUGUUGCUCUAAGUCACCUCGUGUUGCUCUAACUCAGCUGGUGUUGCUCUAAGUCACCUCGUGUUGCUCUAAAUCACCUCGUGUUGCUCUAAAUCACCUCGUGUUGCUCUAAGUCACCUCGUGUUGCUCUAAGCCA